UAAAAACUUAGGAUAAUAAAACCGAGAGCCUUCAAAGCUUUAAAAAAGGGUGUAAACCCCUUAGUUUUU
rnacentral:tRNA from 1 species